rnacentral:rRNA from 1 species
UACGGGGGGAGCAAGCGUUGUUCGGAUUUACUGGGCGUAAAGGGCGCGUAGGCGGUCGUGACAAGUCACUUGUGAAAUCUCCGGGCUUAACUCGGAACGGUCAAGUGAUACUGUCGGACUAGAGUACAGAAGGGGCAACUGGAAUUCUCGGUGUAGCGGUGAAAUGCGUAGAUAUCGAGAGGAACACCUGCGGCGAAGGCGGGUUGCUGGGCUGAUACUGACGCUGAGGCGCGAAAGCCAGGGUAGCGAAAGGG